GGGGCCAUAGCUCACAAGAGCGCCUGCCUUGCAAGCGGAGGUCAGCGGUUCGAUCCCGCUGGGCUCCACCA
rnacentral:tRNA from 1 species